AGUUUUCACACAGCUACUUCCGGGUUGUUGUCACGGACGCUUUCUGACCCAGGAAAUACCCACAAUAACGGGAUAACACAGCACCAAAACUAUUCACGGGCAUUUUUAUGGACUGAUAACAAACAAAUGUUUCGAAAAUAAUGGAGGGAUGUUGAAAUCGCGCGGAUAAUGGUAAAAAAACAGCUCCUCUAUGUUGGGGUGACGUACAGGGAGUUUAGAUUUCAUUCAUCGCCAUCAAAUUAUAAUACCCGAUUUGCUGUUUGCUGUUGAAUUUUCUAAGUUUCCCACUUUGAAAGUGCUUAAAAAAAGCUAUCUUAGACGAGAGUCAGCAAUAAGCUACAGCAAAUGACGCAGGUCAAAUUCUCUCCAUGUGUAACGGAGCAACUGAGAAGGAGAGAGGAAUAUACAGAAAUCUGUUGAAGUUCCUUUCCCCUGUGGAGUAACAUGGAGUGGCCAGGGGAUUUUCCUGAAGACCAUGCCUUUGUGGAGCUGCUGGUUCCAGGGGUUUCCAGUGAAUCAGACUUUGAGCAGCUCCUUACAGACACAGAGGAAAAACUCAAUCUCAAUGCCAACAGCAUUGAACAGAAGCUGAAGGAGCUCCAGGGCAAAAUGGGAGACUCCCGUACAGGCGAGCGUCCGCCGAGCCCCUCAGAGUGCCUGCAGUGGUUCAACCUCAGAGGGCACAACAGUCUCAGGCCUGUUUCCACAGGAGAUCAAGAACUCAUGGACUUCUUCAGAGCUGUGCAACAGUACCUGAGGUCUGACGAGGAGGGGAAGGAGGAGGUAGUGCUCCAUCUCCUGCUGAAUCUGUCUUCCCAAUGCGGUGUCUGCUUUCCUUGUACCCCUUCUUCCCUCUCCUCCUCAUCCUCUUCUCUUCAUCCUCAAAUGAAUACCUCCUCCAUCAACCUUGUGCACACAGUCAGAGAUGACGCCUCAUUAGAGAUCCAAGAAGUUUGGGAUGAUGUCCGUCUCCAGCUGCGUCGCCACCUGCUGGGGCGGCUGUCUCCUCACAGCACAGAACAUUAUGCACACAGACAACUUUCCACUCUGUCCAUCUCUGAACGGGUCUACUGUCUGCAGCAGCUGUUUUUCCUUUACCCGGAGUCUGAAGUGCUCAUGCAUUACCAGGCUCUGAGAAGCCAAUCUGUGCUGGUUCUCCUGCUAUCUGCUCUGAGCUCGAGCCCAGGCGGUGAGAGCGGAUUUGACAGACUGGCUGUUGGCUUCCAUUCUGCGGUCUCAGCUCUGACCCAGGCCCUGACAGAGGAGCUCCACGUCCUUUCAAAACUAGCUGAACCACACACCAUCCUGAGUUUCAUUAACGCAGCCUACCUCAGCACCGUGGCCCGUGAACUGGCCUCCAUGAUGGAUAGAGAAUGUGAAACAGCCCUGAGGGACAACACCACACUCAGCAGCAAGAUCAAGAAAUACUCAGCCAGGUCCCGGGCAACCGUAGCGCCAAUGGAGCUUCCCAUGAAAAAUAGGAGCUUCAGUUUGACCUCCCACCAGCUGAGGGCGUUAACCCAGCUAGCCUGCACCCUGCUGGGCUUUGAGAGGACUGUUAAGGAGCUUGUCACUAAUAUGACUUUCAUCGACUGUACAGGAGAUACUCCGGGUGUAAAAGGUAUCUUGAAAAAGACUAGAGAGGAAUCAGAUAUGACAGCAGAUGGCAGGAAAUCCAGAGCAGAAACACUUCCACACACACCAGAGGCGCAGGUGUUGGAGUUUGAGUGGAGGUCAUCAUAUAGGGGGCUGGUCCCUCACAUGGCACAUUGUGUUAAAGUGGUGCUGGAUGAUGUUUUUGCCAAGAGUCUACAGCAGGAAGACGCUUUAUUUUCUUCAGGUCACACCUCCAUCACCCUGAUCUGCAUUGGUGGAGAGACAACCCUCUCUGGGAGCAACACAUGCGUCAGAGAAGAUUCCUUCUACACCUACUCAGAGAGAGAGACUCCCAAAAUGAUAGCAAAGUUCUGCAGAGCUAUCACAGCUGAGCUGGAUGCUUUGCUUCCCCUGGCUGCAGCCUGCAGGGACGGCUCUCUCCUGGAGGUGCGAUCGAGCUUUGUGGAGGCGUGUGGCAGGGCAGCGUUCGCCAUGUUGGGUCGUUUGCAGGAGAGGGCCCUGGAGGUUCCAUCCAAUGCACCCCUGAAGAACCUGCCUGCUCUGCUGGCCACAUGUUUAUACGUGCACCAACGACUGGAGCACUACCAUGCCCGGCUGAAAGAUUCACACACUGCAGCAGCUAAAGUACCCCUAACCCUGCUGCCUAUCCAGAAGUACCACGAUGCAGCCGAGGCCUUGAGAGAGCAGAUGACCAGCUACUGUUUCCAGGUCUGUUCCACCUGCAUUCUGCAAGACACAGAGAGUCACCACUGGGCUGAUCCAAAACCAUUCUAUGAGGGUGAGCGCUGUUCCUUCUCAGUGCAGAUGUGGUUCUACUUCCUGUGUGGGCUCCGGAGUGACCUGUGGGCGGUGCUUCCGUCUGAGUUAGCCAAGGAGGUGUUAGGCCAGGUGCUGUCAGAGACUUUGCAGCUGUUGGUACAAAGAUAUGCCAGUGCCCAUCCCUCAUAUAAGAGACACCUACAAAUCAGGUGUGACAUAACAGCGGUGCUGCUGUAUGUGGAGCAGCUUAUGUGGAGUGUGUGUGAAAGUCCUGAGGCUUUGGUGCACUCCAAUCCUUCUUCAGCAAUUGCCAUAAUAGCGGGUGGAGCAGACUGGUCAUACAUAAUCCACAGCCUGUGUGAGCAACUCCUGACAGUGCUCGUCAUUGUCACAGCACCCCUAUCUUUGCUGUACAGGAUAUUUAUGAUUAAUCCUGCCAAAGAGUCUGCAGCACAUCAGCCUGGCGGCCCUGUUGUCCACUGGCUUAAUGCUAUCAACCCCGACCUCUUCACAGAGCUGGUCAUUCGAGAGGGUCUUAAGGGCCAGGCGGCCUCUUUGUGUCAGCUGAGGCUUCUGACCUCUGACCCAGGAUACAAUCCCAGGUUGCUACUGCGAACGCUUCUGUAUCAAGACUGUCACCUGCCCAGAAUACUCCUGGAAGACUCUUAUUUCUGCCAGGAUAGCAGCUUAGAAAUGUCUACAGAAAGCUCCAAAGCAGGAGAUGACUUCAUAGUCACUUUGUUCAACCUUUUCAGUUGCCUGAACAAUGUUCCCAAGGCCUUGACUCAGGUCCUUGAGCCGUACCUGGAGCGGGCACAGAUAUGGGAACAUCUUUUCACACUAGCAGAUACAACUCGGACUGUACCUUUAGUGAUCAGCCAUAUCAGAGCUGUACUCAACAAGUCUAUCAACAGCCUCCUGGUACACCUGGUCCCCAUGGUGAUGAGUUGGCAGGUCGCAGAGGAGCCCAGUACAGCACUGUUAAAGCAGAAUGUACCAGAGAGCGUCCUGGCUAGAAUACCGAAAGAGUGGAACUACACUCCUCUGGACGCAAGGGGGAAGGAGACAACCACAAAGACGGUCAUAUCCAUAACUAUUCAAGCCUUGUCCUUCAUUUUCACCAACCUGGCCAUGGCUGUGGUAUCUGUGCCUCUACCUAUCCGCUACCUCUUCCAAGUGGCAGAGAAGCACCUCUCCCAGCAUGCCCGUCAGUUGCGCUUAGUGGGCUUGUUGCUCUGGGCCCUGCUAGGCUGUUUGAUCCAGGCCCUGGAGGACCCAAUCACACUGGAAACUAUCAGCGGUGUGGAGCUGGACCGUGGGGCAAAGGAGCCCCUGUCCCUGCUGGCUGAGUGCCUACAGGCUGCCAUUGGCAUUCAGCAGAAGGGUGUUCCCAAACCCACAGUGCACAAAGUGCUGCAGGCUCUGGAGGAAAAAAGACCCAAGUGGACAACCAUGCAGCUGCAGAAAGCUCGUAAGCUCUGCUCAGACAGUGAUGGACAGGAAAGGAUACAGCGCAGGUGCUGACACGGGUGCACAACCACCAUCGCAGACAACAACACCACCACAGGGCUUGCCAGGCAGAAGAAUGAGGGGAUGUACGCGGACAAGAGGGGACUCCUCUUCCUCUGCAACUCUCAAUGUCAAGUAGCCAAUGGCUGGCUGACAGGCGACACCGAUUCUGCCACCUUAUAAUUACAUAGAGGAAGACGGAGAGAGAGAGGGAACAAUGACAGGAAGUGUAUGUGAAGGAGAAGGCUUGAUGGACGGUGGUGUGAUAUCCAUCCAUACAGGAAGGGCAGGAAAAUGAUGCGGGCGUCUGCUAGGGUGCAGGACUGUACAUGCAUGAGGACCUUGACACACAAUUACACACACACAUACACGCUUAAGAACACACACACCAAUCAUUUUUAGUGCACUAGUAUCCUUCGGACAAAAUGCUGCAAUGUAUCUCAUGAAUAAUAAUGAAAACUGAGAAAAUUAUUUUGUUAUCUAACCCUCGAUAAUUUGUCUUUACUUCUCACUUACUUUUUCAAGAGCUUUAGCCUUGACCAGGCAGCAGGUUGACAUUUAGUGGUUUUUUAAAAUGGAUUUGCCUUCUGGAGUGAAGGUUUUCUCUAAAACUAAAACAAAAUUAAUUCUAAAGGCUGAGGUCAUUUUCAGGCUAAUUUUCUUGUGCAUAGUAUAUUCAAAAUUUGAUAGCAAAUUCUUUCCCAAACUAGAAAAUCCCUCCUCCUUUAGGGAUUGUAUUGAGAUGCAAGCUGACUCCUAACCACUUCCUGUUUCCUCUCCUUUCUCUUGGCUCCACUCAGUAUUUUUUUAGCUUUUCUGCUCUCUCUCAUCUCCCCCUUUUCUGCUCUUUGUUUCCCUCUCAGUAUGUUCGAGCGAGGACGAGAGAGCGGAGUUGCUGUGGCUGAACUGACUGAGCAGAAAAUAGGCCUGAUGCUGCUGGAGGUCUGCCACAAAGCAGGUGGCAGUGACUACCUGAGGCAGAUCUAUCACAUCAUCCAAGGCAAUGAGGAACUACUGAUGCUCAAACUAAGUGGGAACACAAACUCACCCAGUGGUCCUUCUCACUUGGUGAACUUUGACCUUCAAUUGGACACUGCUGGUUUCAACCCUGUCCACCAGUUUGACCACAUUGGAAAAAAGAAGCUGGAUCAGAGUGCUGUGGUGGACUGGGCGUGGGACUGGCUGAGGCUGCUGCCAACCUAUCAGGGCAUGAGUCAGGUCACCUUCAAAACUCUGCUGGCCAACAGGUGGGAGAUGCAGGAUAGUGCGGAGCUGGAAGAUGAAGAAAAAUCCAUGGUGGAGGAACUUCAGAAAGCCUAUUUUGUUUGCUGCUGCAGCCCGAAACUGCAAGACCCCCCUGAAGCUGAUGAGAGACCUGCAGAGCGGACCCAGGGGGAAACACACCCAUCUGAUGAGACUGCUGCCCAAUAACAGUCCAGGCAGUUAGAAUUUUUAUCAUGUUGUAAAUGUUUGCUUGUAAUACUCUCUCGGAACUCUCAAGGUAGUAAAAUGUGUGUGUGUGCGUGUGUGUGUUAAACUGGAUUUGUGUAUAUGCAGCAAGUUUGCAUAUGUGCGUGCAUGAAGACAUGAGCAAGAGAGCGGACAAGAAACUGCUAAACAUCAAAGAGUAAGAGAGACUGUUCCUCCCUAUCUAUGCGUACAACGCAGACAAACUCUCUGUGCUUUUCUGUGCUGCAUCAGAUGCAUUUCAUCUUUUUGGAGCACAUCUCCAGAAAUCAGUUCUGGGAAAUGGAGAGCCUGGAUUUGUUUGCCUGGGACAAGAUGGGACUGUGUGAUCACUACUGGUAGUGAAGUUUUUUUUAAGCAGUGAGUGUAAAGACAUUGGUGUCAGCAUACUUUCUCCUGGUUCCUGAAAGCAAACAUCAAAUGUUACGGUUGGAAAGCGAGAUGAGUAUGUUUUUGAUUACAGUGUGUCCUAAAAAUCUGCCCCACUAUGUAAUAUCAGUCAGGGUUUUGUGGGAACUGAGAAAACAUUUAUUUUAUCUGUAAUACGAUUGUUGACUAUGUUUUGCCAAGUUUGUCCAUAUUUCGUAAUUUGUGAGAUGGAGAUGGAAUAUUUUAGAAUUAAACAUGAAAAUAAAAAAAAUCCUCACUCUCA